GUCGAACGAUGAAGCCCAGCUUGCUGGGUGGAUUAGUGGCGAACGGGUGAGUAACACGUGAGUAACCUGCCCUUAACUCUGGGAUAAGCCUGGGAAACUGGGUCUAAUACCGGAUAGGAGCGUCCACCGCAUGGUGGGUGUUGGAAAGAUUUAUCGGUUUUGGAUGGACUCGCGGCCUAUCAGCUUGUUGGUGAGGUAAUGGCUCACCAAGGCGACGACGGGUAGCCGGCCUGAGAGGGUGACCGGCCACACUGGGACUGAGACACGGCCCAGACUCCUACGGGAGGCAGCAGUGGGGAAUAUUGCACAAUGGGCGAAAGCCUGAUGCAGCGACGCCGCGUGAGGGAUGACGGCCUUCGGGUUGUAAACCUCUUUCAGUAGGGAAGAAGCGAAAGUGACGGUACCUGCAGAAGAAGCACCGGCUAACUACGUGCCAGCAGCCGCGGUAAUACGUAGGGUGCGAGCGUUAUCCGGAAUUAUUGGGCGUAAAGAGCUCGUAGGCGGUUUGUCGCGUCUGUCGUGAAAGUCCGGGGCUUAACCCCGGAUCUGCGGUGGGUACGGGCAGACUAGAGUGCAGUAGGGGAGACUGGAAUUCCUGGUGUAGCGGUGGAAUGCGCAGAUAUCAGGAGGAACACCGAUGGCGAAGGCAGGUCUCUGGGCUGUAACUGA
rnacentral:rRNA from 1 species